GACGUCCACUUAAAAAAUUACAGCUGCGUUUCGCACACGACGCUAACUGUGCCAUAAGUGGACAACAUAAAAUCUGCAACCUAUGUUCGAAGUUUUUCUCCCAAUGGAUCACACUUCCUGUUAUGGUUACACAUUU
ensembl:snoRNA snoRNA:Psi28S-2996 snoRNA:Psi28S-2996